ACAACUUUCAGCGGCGGAUAUCUCGGCUCAGGCACCUAUGAAGGGCGCAGCGAAGCGUGAUAGUCUUUGUGAAUUGCAGAUCUCCGUGAACCAAUGGCCCCCUGAACGCGCAUUGCACUCUUGGGACUUCCUGAGAGUAUGUUUGCUUCAGUGCUUAUU
rnacentral:rRNA from 1 species